GCUGGGAGGUAUGUGGAGGCUUGCUCUCAAGGUAUGAUGGUUGAUCUGGGCUCUCCUGAACAUCCUUGCCACAAGCCUCCUUUCUUGGAGCCCACAGACAGACAGAAGCUUGGGAGAAAGCAAAGGACACAGUGUUUGCAUUGCAAGUGACAUCUGGCUGACAGGAACUUGGAGAAAUGGAAUCCGAAGUGAAUGCUGCAGUUACCACAAGCCUCAUAUUUAUCAAAAGGUUUAAGAUACAGAAACAGAGAUGGAAACAUGGAGACCGUUGUAAAAUCUUCAAUAAAUACAGGAGGCCCUUGUUCAUUUCCUGAAAUGCAAAAUUUCAAUAAACUAGAAAAAUGGGAAACAUUAGCCUGAU